rnacentral:rRNA from 1 species
UACGAAGGGGGCUAGCGUUGUUCGGAAUUACUGGGCGUAAAGCGCACGUAGGCGGACUAUUAAGUGAGGGGAGAAAUCCCGGGGCUCAACCCCGGAACUGCCUUUGAUACUGGUAGUCUCGAGUCCGGAAGAGGUGAGUGGAAUUCCGAGUGUAGAGGUGAAAUUCGUAGAUAUUCGGAGGAACACCAGUGGCGAAGGCGGCUCACUGGUCCGGUACUGACGCUGAGGUGCGAAAGCGUGGGGAGCAAACAGG